rnacentral:antisense_RNA from 1 species
UAGAGGUGAAGAUACGCAGGACGUCCUCUAAAGCAACUUCCGUGGGUGCCAGGUUAUGGGCUGGGGGCGGUGCUGACCUUGAGAGAGCGGAGGAAGCGCAGGCGCAGCACAGUUUAAACUUGGUUUUGUGGGGGGACGAACAGCGUGACAAUUAAAGAAGAUGUAGGAAUCGAAUACCCAUCUCGAGUUCUGGAUAUGUCCUUUGAGAAGUUGCCCAUGUCACCGAUCACACUGGAGGCCAAUGCAGAUACUGUGGGAAGGUUCCAUGGUAGCUAAGUGUGGACAAGCUAAUCACUGAAGUUCCCUGAUGCAGAGCUGAUAAUCUCUUUAGAGUUGGAUGGAAGACUGUGCUGCCUUGAAGUUCUGAGAGAUGCCAUGCCAAUUCAAGGCAAGGUCUUUAUUGUUGAAACUCUUCCAUAAUGACAUCUUUAUUCAGGUGAAAAUACAGGAUGAAUUUCAACUGUAUGAUAUUGUUUAUGUUCAUCAGACAUGUUAUUUCUCUUUACAAAGAUUGGUUUCAAUAAACUGGCUGUGUGACUGAUAUUAAAUAAACAUGGAAUUUUACACAUUCAUAAUAUUUGGUUUCUU